rnacentral:SRP_RNA from 1 species
CCGUGCUAGGCGGGGUGUUAGCGGUACCCUGUACUCGCAAUCCGCUAUAGCGAGGCUGAAUUCUUUUCCGAGGGUUGAUUGAGUUGAGUCACUAUUGCCAUAAGCGAUGUUGACAGUCGGGUCCCAUGCAAACGAACGGCGUGAACCUGGUCAGACCGGGAACGGAGCAGCCAUAAGCGUUAGUUUGUUGUGCUGUGGAACAACCCGGCUUGAGUUGGCUGUGGCAGCAAACUCAGCAAGAUCGAUUCGAAGAAAAGUGCACGG